GGGGUGAUUCUUUGUGGGGUUCCCCCGUUUUGGGCAGGUAGGGUUCCCUCGUUUUAGGUGGAUUUAGUUGUUUCUAAAUUGGAUUUGAGGUUCUUGUGUGGCUUUUGGGUGUGAUAGAGAUUGAGCAAGGUGUGGCGUUGGUGACGACGUUUGCCAUUAACAAAAUCAUAUACCCCAAACCAAAAAAGUGUACCCACUUUCUCAAACACCACG
rnacentral:lncRNA from 1 species